CCUGGCUCCAGAUUGAACGCUGGCGGAAUGGCUUUACACAUUGCAAGUCGAACGGCAGCACGGGAGCUUGCUCCUGGUGGCGAGUGCGAACGGGUGAGUAAUGCGUCGGAACGUGCCGAGUAAGUGGGGGAUAACGCAGCGAAAGUUGUGCUAAUACCGCAUACGCCCUGAGGGGGAAAGUGGGGGAUCGCAAGACCUCACGUUAUUCGAGCGGCCGACGUCUGAUUAGCUAGUUGGUGGGGUAAAGGCCUACCAAGGCGACGAUCAGUAGCGGGUCUGAGAGGAUGAUCCGCCACACUGGGACUGAGACACGGCCCAGACUCCUACGGGAGGCAGCAGUGGGGAAUUUUGGACAAUGGGGGCAACCCUGAUCCAGCCAUUCCGCGUGAGUGAAGAAGGCCUUCGGGUUGUAAAGCUCUUUCAGCUGGAGUGAAACGGUGCGCUCUAACAUAGCGUGCUAAUGACGGUACCAGCAGAAGAAGCACCGGCUAACUACGUG
rnacentral:rRNA from 1 species